AGAGUUUGAUCAUGGCUCAGGAUGAACGCUGGCGGUGUGCCUUAGGCAUGCAAGUCGAACGAUAAACCUUCUUCGGAAGGUGGACAGUGGCAGACGGGUGAGUAACACGUGGGAACCUACCUCAAAAUGGGGAAUAGCCCUCCGAAAGGAGGAGUAAUACCGCAUGUGCCCGCAAGGGUAAAGACUUCGGUCGUUUUGAGAGGGGCCCGCGCCCUAUCAGGUAGUUGGUGAGGUAAUGGCUCACCAAGCCAAUGACGGGUAGCCGAUGUGAGAGCAUGAUCGGCCACAAGGUUACUGAGACACGGAACCUACACCUACGGGUGGCAGCAACCGGGAAUAUUGCGCAAUGGACGAAAGUCUGACGCAGCGACACCGCGUGUGGGAAGAAGCUUUUCGGAGUGUAAACCACUGUGGCAGGGGAAGAAAUUUUGACGGUACCCUGCUAGAAAGCACCUGCUAACUACGUGCCAGAAGCCUCGGUAAUACGUAGGGUGCAAGCGUUAUCCGGAUUUAUUGGGCGUAAAGCGUCCGUCGGCGAUUUGAUAAGUCUCUUGUUUAAGGCCAGGGCUCAACUCUGGAAGAGCAAGAGAAACUAUUAAACUUGAGUAUGUGAGAGGUAGCUGGAAUUCUCGGUGGAGGGGUGAAAUCCGUAGAUAUCGAGAGGAACGCCGCGCGCGAAAGCAGGCUACUGGAACAUUACUGACGCUCAGGGACGAAAGCUAGGGUAGCAAAAGGGAUUAGAGACCCCCGUAGUCCUAGCCGUAAACGUUGGAUGCUAGUUUUUUGGGUUUAAACCUAGGAAACGCAAGUUAACGCGUUAAGCAUCCCGCCUGGGGAGUACGACCGCAAGGUUAAAACUCAAAGGAAUUGACGGGGGAGCGCACAACCGGUGGAGUAUGUGGUUUAAUUGGACACAAAGCCAAAAACCUUACCUGGUCUUGACAUGUAGCUGCAGUCUUGUAGAAAUACGAGAUGUCUUCGAGAGUGCUACACAGGUGAUGCAUGGCUGUCGUCAGCUCGUGUCGUGAGACGUCCGCUUAAGUGCGGUAACGAGCGCAACCCUUGCUCAGUGUUACAAGUGUCACUGAGGACUGCCUUUGCUAUGCAAGGGAGGAAGGAGAGGACGACGUCAAGUCAGCAUGUCCCUUACGACCAGGGCAACACACAUUCUACAAUGGAAAUGACAAUGGGUAGCAACAGGGUAACCUUAAGCCAAUCCUUUAAACAUUUCCUCAGUUCGGAUUGAGGGCUGCAAUUCGCCCUCAUGAAGCCGGAAUCGGUAGUAAUCGCAAAUCAGCACGUUGCGGUGAAUACGUUCUCGCUCCUUGUACACACUGCCCGUCAAGCCAGCAAAGUCAGCAGCGCCCGAAGCGGGUGACCAGAACCAUUUAUGGACUGGCCCUUCUACGGCGAGGUUGGCGAUGAGGACUAAGUCGUAACAAGGUAACCGUA
rnacentral:rRNA from 1 species